ACGGAAGGCAGCAGUGGGGAAUAUUGCACAAUGGAGGGAACUCUGAUGCAGCAACGCCGCGUGAAGGAUGAAGGUCUUCGGAUUGUAAACUUCUGUCCUUGGGGACGAAACAAAUGACGGUACCCUUGGAGGAAGCCCCGGCUAACUACGUGCCAGCAGCCGCGGUAAUACGUAGGGGGCAAGCGUUAUCCGGAAUUACUGGGCGUAAAGGGUGCGUAGGCGGUUUUGUAAGCGUGGGGUGAAAGGCAUCGGCUAAACUGGUGUUAGCCCCAUGAACUGCAUUACUUGAGUACGGGAGAGGAAAGUGGAAUUCCUAGUGUAGCGGUGAAAUGCGUAGAUAUUAGGAGGAACACCAGUGGCGAAGGCGACUUUCUGGACCGCAACUGACGCUGAGGCACGAAAGUGUGGGGAGCAAACAGGAUUAGAUACCCUGGUA
rnacentral:rRNA from 1 species